CAAUCUCACCGGACAGUUUCCUCUGGCUCUCACAAAUCUCAGUAAAUUGAAUGAACUUAGGAUCAGUAGCAACAACUUCACAGGUAGGAUGCCCGAUUUUGGCGGUUGGAAACAACUUCAGAAAUUAGAGAUGCAAGCAAGCGGUUUUGAAGGGUCAAUUCCUUCUAGUCUUUCUCUUUUGAGCAAUUUAACUGAAUUAAGGAUUAGUGACUUAAACGGUGAGAGUUCAGAUUUUCCGGACUUGACGAACAUGACAAA